UUUCGGUACGAAAAUACAUCACAGGCCACUAUGUUAUUUAAUAUCAUUCUUCUCGAAGACUAAUGAUUGUUACAUCCUACUAAAAUGAUGUUCUGUCCUCAGAGAUGUCUCGUUGCUUAUGAGGAAGCAGCAAAUAAACACUUGAAAAAAGCUCUCGUCCUCGAAGAUGCAAUAUCUGAUUUACCCAAGGUUCAGAACCAUCAGCCUAAUGAUGUCAUGGAGUAUGGCAGUGACCCCAAAACAGAGUUCCAACGCUAUAUCCGGCUCAGCAGUAAAGGUGUGACCUAUUGAAUGUGCAAGCUUAAUGCCAGCAACUAGUUUCUUUAUAAUGAUUUUUUUCUCUGUUAUGCCUUCUGUCUUUGCAUAUGCAGAGUUAUGUUUUUUUUAUUUCAAUCAUGUGGGUGGGUUUCAUGAUU